rnacentral:rRNA from 1 species
AUGGUGCCCUUACCGGGCUCGUCUCAGGAGGUCCCGUGCUUCCCGCAGUGUAUUGAAUGGAUACUACAAAACCAACAGACUAAUGGAUCUUGGGGUCUUGCUCACAUGGACUCCUCGGUCAACAAGGCCACUGUCUCAUCCACACUGGCUUGUGUGCUUGCACUUCAGAGAUGGAACGUCGGGAGGGAACAUAUUAGGAGAGGAAUAAAUUUUAUUGGCAAAAACGUCUCCGUUGUCAUGGAUGAACAGAUUGCUGCUCCUAUAGGCUUCAAUAUCAUAUUUCCUGGUAUGCUUAGCCUUGCCAUGGGGAUGGGUUUGCAAUUUCCUGUUAGACAAACAAAUGUUGAUGGGAUUCUGCAUCUCCGAGAGUUGGAACUAGAAAGACUUGCUGCGGAUAAAUCUUUGGGGAGAGAAGCAUAUAUCGCUUAUGUUGCUGAAGGACUAGGAAACCUAUUGGACUGGAAUGAAGUUAUGAAAUUCCAGAGGAGGAAUGGAUCAUUGUUCAACUCUCCUUCCACAACUGCUGCUGCAUUAAUCCAAAAUUAUGAUGACAAAGCCCUCCAGUAUCUAAAUUUGCUUGUUAAUAAGUUUGAUGGUUCAGUGCCAACAGUGUACCCAACAAAUAUAUAUUGCCAGCUUUCAAUGGUGGAUACUCUUGAAAAGGUUGGGAUAUCUCCGUACUUUUCAAGUGAGAUAAAGAGCAUCCUGGACAUGACAUACAGUUGUUGGUUACAAAGAGAUGAGGAAAUCAUGCUCGAUGUAUCAACGUGUGCAAUGGCGUUUCGUAUCUUACGAAUGAAUGGAUAUGAUAUUUCAGCGGAUGAGUUGUCUCAUAUCGACGAAGCCUCGACUUUCCAUAAUUCACUUCAAGGAUAUUUAAGUGAUACAAAAUCGAUAAUGGAAUUGUACAAGGCUUCAAGAGUUAGUGUAUCAGAAAAUGAACUAAUCCUCGAUAACAUAAGUUAUUGGUCAGGGAAGUUAUUGAAGGAAAACAUAGUUCAUCCUGAUGUGCAAAGUAGGUCGAUAUUGGCAGAGGUGGAGUAUGCUCUUAAAUUUCCUUUUUAUGCCACAAUGGAUCGUCUAGAUCACAAGAGGAACAUUGAAAACUUUGAUUUGAGUGGUUCCCAGAUGUUGAAGACGGAACACUGGUUAUGUUGUGUAAACCAAGAUAUUUUAGCUUUGGCCAUUGAAGAUUUCACCAUCUCUCAAUCCGUUUACCAGAGUGAACUCCAGCUUCUUGAACGUUGGGUGAAGGAGAACAAGCUAGACCAGCUACUAUUUGCACGACAGAGGACGACAUAUUGCUAUCUCGCUGCUGCUGCUACCAUGUUCCCUCCUGAAUUGUCUGAUGCUCGCAUUUCAUGGGCCAAAAAUUCUAUACUUGUAAAUAUUGUUGAUGACUUCUUUGAUGUUGCGGGGUCAAGGGAAGAAUUAGAAAACCUUGUUGAACUAAUCGUGAAGUGGGAUGAGCACUACAAAGAAGAAUUCUACUCUGAGCAAGUAAAAAUAUUGUUUUAUGCCAUUUACACUUCAACGAGCCAACUUGGAACAAUGGCUUCUGUUGUACAAAACCAUGACGUCAAAGAGCACCUAGUAGAGACAUGGCUACAACUACUAAGGACUAUGAUGGCCGAGGCGGAUUGGCGGAUGAGACAAUAUGUGCCAACAGUUGAAGAAUACAUGGAACUUGCAGUUGUGUCAUUCACAGUGGCUCCCAUUCUACUCCCGGCAUCAUAUUUUGUCAAGCAAUCACUCUUAGCUUGUGUUGUAAAUGGUCAAGAGUACAAUGAGUUGUUCAGACUAAUGGGCACUUGUUGUCGCCUCCUCAAUGACAUCCAAGGCUUUGAGAGGGAGAGCAGCGAGGGGAAACUUGAUAGUGUUUCGCUACGUGUUCUCCACAGUGACGGUUCUAUGUCCAUUGAAGUAGCUAAAGAUUCAAUAAAAAGGUCCAUAGCCUCAUGCAGAAAAGAUUUGUUAAGGUUGGUCCUUAAGGAAGAUAGUGUUGUUCCUAGGGCAUGCAGGGAGUUAUUUUGGAACAUGUGCAAGAUAUGCCACUUGUUCUACUCUCACACUGAUGCAUUUACCUCGCCAAGUGAGAUGGUCACCAUAGUGAAUGCAGUUAUCAAUGAGCCACUCAAACUCCAAAUUAGCAAUCCAUCUUUUGCUGUACAAUCGGAAAAAUAA